rnacentral:lncRNA from 1 species
GCUCAGCCGCCGGAGAGGCAGGGCCCGCUGCCGUCGCUCAGGACCAUGUUGAGCUUGGGUGAAGAAUCGUUGUGAAACGAUUUAUGUUUGUGGGUGAAUCUCACUUGCAGUAUAUCAUUUGCUACUGGGGGAAGGGGUCAGAGGAAGAAGCCAGGAGUGGGUCUCCCAUCCUAUUUUACGAGACAGACUCUCUCACAGAGCCUGAAGCUCACAAUUUCAGCAGUGUUGGGUGGCAGCAAGUUCCUGAGAUCUGCCUGGCUGUGCACCCCAAGUCUGGAGUUAUAGACAGGCAUGUGACCCGAUUUUCCAUCGGUGCUGGGGAACUGAACUCCGCUCCUCACACCUGUACAGGCUUCUUGCUGUGCCCUGAGCAGCUGUGACCACCAGCACGGCCACAUGUCGGAGCAGGCAAGGGAGUGCCAUAGUCACCCAGCGCUGUGACCUGAGUGCUGAAGGAGGAGAGGACCGAGGCUCUGAGUCUCACAUUCUGGCCUAGGAGGAGGAAGAGGAGAGACCCAUUUGCCAGAGGGCUGAAGGUGGCCUUGAGGGCCAUGCUCUCGGUCCCAGGAUGCCCCUGCCUGAGCCCAGUGAGCAGGAGGGUGAGAGCCUGAGAGCUGGCCAGGAGCCAUCCCGUGGAGCUCGGAAACCUCAAGAGUCCUCUAGUCUGGUCCCGGCCAGGGACAAGGAGAAACCCAAGCCGACAGAUGUCAUGUCCCAGGAGACGUCC